UCCCGGGUGGCUCAGAUGGUAAAGCGUCUGCCUACAAUGCAGGAGACCCAGGUUCAAUCCCUGGGUCAGGAA
rnacentral:tRNA from 1 species